rfam:Sphaeroforma arctica JP610 cont1.8687, whole genome shotgun sequence.
AGACCGAUGGCUCAAUUUGGUAGAGCGUAGCGGGAACGCUUUAAUUAAUGGUUCAAAUCCAUUUCAGCCUA